rnacentral:lncRNA from 1 species
GGCGGGACCCGGAACACUGUGGGAAGGCGGCUGCAGCGGCAACCAGCUCCUCGUGCGCAAACGCCGUCCAGCGGCUGCCGAAGGCUGAAGGCGCGUGGCUAUUACGUCACUCUCAACCUUGCCCAAUGAUAACUUGCCAGAACAGCCUCCAGCAACUCUCACCCCACGCGGCAUUGUUAGCCCCGCCUUCCUCAGCUGCUAAGCCCCGCCCCUAGCGUCUUCCUCCGCAAAAAAUGCUGAAAUUUGUUCAUGUCCCUCCGCUGGGAGCUGUAUCUAAAAAUAGCUACCCGUGGGCCUGCUCUUGUUUCCCACCUAGAACUUCAGUUUCUUGUUUAAUUUCCCAAGACCGUAAUUUCUUUCUAGUGUAAAGAUCUUCAGAAAGAAACCUGAGUGGGUGGGAGGUAAAUAUAAAUCACGAUGUUAUGACUCAGUUUGUGACACACAUUGAACCUCAAGCAAUAAAUAGUCCUUUGAAAAA